CCUACGGGAGGCAGCAGUCGAGAAUCUUUCACAAUGGGGGAAACCCUGAUGGUGCGACGCCGCGUGGGGGAAUGAAGGUCUUCGUAUUGUAAACCCCAGUAAUGUGGGAGCAAAUUACAAAGAUAGUAUCACAAGCGGAAGAGACGGCUAAUUCUGUGCCCGCAGCCGCGGUAAUACAGCGGUCUCAAGCGUUGUUCGGAAUCACUGGGCGUAAAGCGUGCGUCGGCUGAUUCGUAAGUUGGGUGUGAAAGGCGCGGGCUCAACCCGCGGACGGCACAUGAUACUGCGAGACGAGAGUAAUGGAGGGGGAACCGGAAUUCUCGGUGUAGCAGUGAAAUGCGUAGAUA
rnacentral:rRNA from 1 species